GCAGUUUGGGGAGACGUGCCUAACUAUAGUGGAAGGUUUCUGGUGGUCUUUCAGAAAAGUGAUGAAUGGAGAAAAUAGCAUAUUAUUAUGGAAAUAUGCUGUCAGCUUUUAGGCCAGAUAGAGGAAAUGAACACUGGCUCUACACACAGACAAGAAAAUUGUCGUGAGAUUUCUGCUUUGACUUCCAUCAAGAGUGGACAAUAACUUGGAAGAUAAUAUAAACUCUUUUCUCUCCAAGCUGCAUUUUGAAGCUCAUCAUAGCAACAGAAAACAAACUAGAAGAGGCCUCUUUGAAACUCCUCAAACUACGAGAGAAGACUUAAUAAUGCUGAGCACUUGAGACCUGCACCACAAAUGUCUCCAGGAAAAAACAAGAGCAUACAACAUUAAAUACCGACCAAGGAAAUAUCAAGACUAUGAGGAACACAAAACUGAAAAUGUGA